rnacentral:rRNA from 1 species
ACACGGCGACGUGAGGCUAAUCCCUAAAUCCUCUCUCAGUUCGGAUUGGAGUCUGCAACCCGACUCCAUGAAGCUGGAUUCGCUAGUAAUCGCGCAUCCGCCACGGCGCGGUGAAUACGUUCCCGGGCCUUGUACACACCGCCCGUCAAGCCAUGAAAGCCGGGGGUACCUGAAGUGCGUAACCGCGAGGAGCGCCCUAGGGUAAAACUGGUGAUUGGGGCUAAGUCGUAACAAGGUAGC